rnacentral:piRNA from 1 species
UCUAAAUGAGAGUCUUCAUUA